rnacentral:rRNA from 1 species
CAGUCGCCACGGUAAUACGUAGGGUGCAAGCGUUAAUCGGAAUUACUGGGCGUAAAGCGUGCGCAGGCGGUUUGUUAAGACAGAUGUGAAAUCCCCGGGCUCAACCUGGGAACUGCAUUUGUGACUGGCAAGCUAGAGUGUGGCAGAGGGGGGUGGAAUUCCGCGUGUAGCAGUGAAAUGCGUAGAUAUGCGGAGGAGCACCGAUGGCGAAGGCAGCCCCCUGGGCCAACACUGACGCUCAUGCACGAAAGCGUGGGGAGCAAACAGGAUUAGAUACCCCUGUAGUCCCUGUCUCUUAUAC